UUGCUAGCAAAGACAAUUUUACUUCUAUACAUGUGUAUGACUAUAUGAUUUUCCUCAUUGAAGUUACUAUUUACUAAACGACAGAUUAAUAAAUAUUUUUUAGGUAAAUAAAACAUCUAAAUAAAUAGAUUCAUAUUUACUGUUCCGAUAUUUCAUUAUAAUUGCUUAGUUGCAAUAGGAAAUUAGAGUAAUAAUACGCCCGACUGAUAAAUUAUGUGUCGAUAGAAACAUAGAGUUAAAUUUUUUUUUUUGAUAUCCACGAUUAUUCCACAUUUUUAAGAAGGUCGGGAUAAUUAAAAUUUUUUAGACUCGAAAAUUUUGAAAUUAUUGUUACCAAUUGGUAUUUUAUACAAUGAAUCUUUUAUUUAUUAACGUCAAAUGUAUUAUGUAACUAUAAUACCCUUUUAUAUGAACUAUCCUUUAUAUUAUCACAUAUUAAUAAAUUUAAUGAUAACAUGACUGGCAAAUAUUUAAUAUUGUACUAUUUAUUUUGAAUUGUAAUAACUGUGAGAGUGUGAGGAAAUGUGUGUAGUCUGAUUUCUUUACUGUUUAUGUAAACAAGAGGACUUUAAAAGGAAGAGGAGCGAGGAACCACUUAUACUAUUAUCUUCACUCUUGGAAGGGCAGUGUAUAUUACAGAAAAGUAUUUUAGUUGGCCAUUCAACAGACACCAAACUGUUUACAGAGCUGUUACAGGACAAAAAAGAUUUCCCAACAGGAAUGACUAGAAAUGACGGUCCACAGCCUGCGAAAAAAAGUAAACUAAAUUCCUAUAAUUCCAAUAACACUGUAAUACAAAACAAUGAGUUGAAACAUUGCUUUAUUUGCAGUAACAUUUGUAAAUGUAGUUUAUUAAGGUCGUUGAAACCGAAAGUAUCGGACGAAAUAUUGCCAUUAUUUUCUAAAAAGCUUCCGGAGUUGCCCGACGUUCAAUUAAUUGGCAAUUUGAAUAAUAUUUCGAUAAAACUGUCAACAUUAGGUGUAUACAAAACGGAUUUGUCAUACGAAGAAAGUAAUAUAUCAGAUUUUGACACCGAAAUAUUGGCAGAUGAUGAAUCUACAGGAACAGUCGAACACAAUGAUGAAACAAAUGUUAUUAAUGAGAAAAACUUGGUUGAUAUUCCCCUUCAAACCGUUGAAGAAAAUUCAACUAUUACAGAAUAUGAAGAUAUCUGUGAAGAUAUCAAAAGAUAUUUCCACAUCAACAACGUUUUCGAUAUAUUUAGUGAAUGAAUGAAUGAAUGACAUAGAAAUUAGAAAUAAUGUUUUCUAGAGACUUAAAACCAAAGAAAUUAAAUUAACAAAAAUCUAUUUUAUUUGAUAUGGAUUGGUAUGUUAAGGUUAUGGUAGACAUGUAAAUGUUUAUAUUUUUAUAGCCAUUUUAAAUCCAUAGAAUACUCACCAUACCAAUUUUACAAUCAAAGAUUUUUAUAUCACAAAUAUUAUUGUAUUAAAAAAACAACUGUAAUAUAGAAACCAAAAAUGUAUAAGAGUGCAAUGUAUAUAUUAUCAAUUAUAUUUGAAAAUAACAUUUUAUAUAAAAUACUUUUAUAUUAUGAAAAAUCAUAUUAUUAUAAUUUUAUGAUGUACUAAGUAAGUAAAUAUUUCUAUGCAUUAAAAUAUGUACUUAGUGAUAAUUCUAUAAAUACUACAGAUUGUGUAUGUAAUAUACGGGAAAUAAUAGAUUAAAACAGCAUUUCAAUUGUUUA